rnacentral:rRNA from 1 species
AUUGAACGCUGGCGGCAGGCCUAACACAUGCAAGUCGAGCGAGCGGCGGACGGGUGAGUAAUGUAUGGGGACUGCCCGAUAGCGGGGGAUAACUACUGGAAACGGUCGCUAAUACCGCAUACUAUCGGAUAACCCAUAUGGGAUUAGCUAGUAGGUGAGGUAAUGGCUCACCUAGGCGACGAUCCCUAGCUGGUCUGAGAGGAUGAUCAGCAACACUGGGACGGAGACGCAGCCCAAACUCCUACGGAGACAACAGUGAGGAAUAUUGCGCAGUGGGGGCAAGGCUAAUGCAACCAUGCCGCGUGUAUUAAGAAGGCCCUAGGGUUGUAAAGGACUUUCAGUCGGGAGGCGUUACCGACAGAAGAAGCACCGGCUAACUCCGUGCCAGCAGCCGCGGUAAUAC